rnacentral:rRNA from 1 species
GGCCACCUCCCACCCGUGUUGCCCGAACCUAUGUUGCCUCGGCGGGCCCCGCGCCCGCCGACGGCCCCCCUGAACGCUGUCUGAAGUUGCAGUCUGAGACCUAUAACGAAAUUAGUUAAAACUUUCAACAACGGAUCUCUUGGUUCCGGCAUCGAUGAAGAACGCAGCGAAAUGCGAUAACUAAUGUGAAUUGCAGAAUUCAGUGAAUCAUCGAGUCUUUGAACGCACAUUGCGCCCUCUGGUAUUCCGGAGGGCAUGCCUGUCCGAGCGUCAUUGCUGCCCUCAAGCCCGGCUUGUGUGUUGGGCCCCGUCCCCCCCGCCGGGGGGACGGGCCCGAAAGGCAGCGGCGGCACCGCGUCCGGUCCUCGAGCGUAUGGGGCUUCGUCACCCGCUCUAGUAGGCCCGGCCGGCGCCAGCCGACCCCCAACCUUUAAUUAUCUCAGGUUGACCUCGGAUCAGGUAGGGAUACCCGCUGAACUUAAGCAUAUCAAUAAGCGGAGG